AGUAGAAUGGCUGGGUUGUAGUGUAUGUUUAACUUUUUAAGAAACUACCAAGCUGUUUUCCAAAGUAAUUGAACCAUUUUAUAGUCCCACCAGUAAU
rnacentral:pre_miRNA from 1 species